rnacentral:tRNA from 1 species
GCCGUGGCUCAGUGGUGGAGCAUCGACUUUGUGGGCAGAAGGUCCCAGGUUCAACUCCCGACAUCUCCA